UUCUUUCUUGCCAUAUUUUUAUCAAUUUUUCACCAGAGUAUUCCUAGAGUGAAAACACUAACAACUUUUUUUUGCAAGUCCCUCGGGACCAUCACAAAUUGACAAAUUCAGACAAAAUCCAGAUGGUUGACCAUAGAUAGGAACAUCACAAAUACACACAAAGCAAACUACAAUAACAUUGUUCACCAUAGCUAAGAACUUCACCAUCUACUGAAUUAGCCUUGCCACCAAGCAUCAAUCCCGCGACAACAAUAAAUAAAGCAAGCAGCACGUGUGCGAGUUUGACAUUGUGCCUAUAUAUCCCAAUGAACUUCAGCUCGGCAGUAGCCUUCUGAAGUUGUUGCCGCACCGUCUUGAGCUCAUUCCUAAUCUCCAUAAACUCACUAUUAGCUUUUACCAAUUCCUC
rnacentral:lncRNA from 1 species